UACGGAGGGGGCUAGCGUUAUUCGGAAUUAUUGGGCGUAAAGGGCGCGUAGGCGGCCCGGUAAGUCAAAGGUGAAAUCCCUCGGCUCAACUGAGGAACUGCCUUUGAAACUGUCGGGCUUGAGGCCGGGAGGGGGUAGCGGAAUUCCCAGUGUAGCGGUGAAAUGCGUAGAUAUUGGGAGGAACACCGGUGGCGAAGGCGGCUUCCUGGACCGGUUCUGACGCUGAUGCGCGAAAGCGUGGGUAGCAAACAGG
rnacentral:rRNA from 1 species